rnacentral:lncRNA from 1 species
CAGGCGUCUGCCAACAUUCCUGCACCUCUGAAGCAGACCUAAGCACUCCUGCCUGUCUUGCAGCCUUGCAGUCUUGCCAGACACGUUUCCUUACAGACCUGGUGUGUUGGAAGGACUCUGUUGGAUAAUGAGUUUGUAUCAGUUUCUGUCCCUAUUUAUAAGGUAGGGUUUCAUUAUGAAGCCGGGAAGGGCCUUGAAUCUAUGAUCCCCUGCCUCAGCUCCUCUAGUACUCUAAACUCCUGAAUACUUUAUAAAAAACCUCUGUCUUUGAUAAAGUAAAGUUUGGCUUUGUUUGUUGUUGUUGUUUGUAUUCAUCUUUAGCACUGUUUACUCCUUAGACUGUUAGAGUACUCACACACAUUCUUAUUUGGCCUUUGCCAUUUGUUUUGACAACAUUCUGUGUCUUCAUCUCCCUUUUUUUCUUAAGCUAUGAAUUUGGUGAAAAACCUGAAGGAAACAAUGUUUAGUAGUUUGAGAAGCCACGGGAUGUACAGUUUGGUUAUCAGCCUUAAUAGGCUACACUAGUGGUAGGUAGUGUAGACAGAGAUGUAAAUGUGCUGUUCCAAAACUGUGAGCUGCCUCGUGAGGAAUCUGGCACGGCAGUGUGAUGCUUCUAGGGCGGCACAGGGCGAGUGUAUUUCACAGGUAGCUCAGAAGAGGUUAGAAUAUGCUGCUAAUGGAAGAUACUUACCUUCAUGCUGGGUGGGUUUUUGUCUGGGCUACGUUCCAUUCUCUGAGUCCUUAUUCACUCUGCCUUGAGGGCACACACAUGAGGACUAUGGCAUGCUGAGUGCUCUUGGGCUGUGCUGUGCUGGUCAGGGUAAGGAAUGGAGUCCCAGGGAAGGCUCGGGUGAGGUAUGAGGUCACAAGCCUGCUUGGAUUGUCUAUUUGUCUCUGAGUUUUAUUUGCUUGUUUUUUGUUUGUUUGUCGUCCCCCCCCCCCCCCCUUCAAGGCCAAGCACCUCUCUUUACCCAAAACAAAUACUCCAUACCUCUUGAAUAGUCAGUGCAUCUCCAGCUUGGCUUUGUCCAUUUUGGUUUCUGGAGCCUUAGCCCAGGUCAUAAGCAUCACCAUCCACUCACUGCCGGCCUAGUCUGAGCACUGCCAUCUGGUCUGUGGAGCUUCAGCAUGCCCCGUUGCUGCGCCUCAUCUCAGGGCACAGGGUUUUGUUUGUAAUUUUGUCAACUUCCUUAAAUUCUACAUAUGCUUUAUGAGUAGCGACUAUGUUAGUUGCUCUAUUGUAUGCCUGUUAGAGUUAGGGACUUCCUUGAUUAUGCAAGGUCUUACUAGUUUCAUGUGUAUGCUUGACUGUAUGAUAUCUAGUUCCUGGAACAAUUUAAGCCAGUCUAAGGCCAUCAGGUUCCCUUAAUUAGAAUAUAUAAAUGAAACAGAGUGUUGAAAAAUUUAGGCUGGCAUGGUAGCAUUUGGGAGGUAGAGGAAGGAAGCUCAAAGUGUAAUCUCGUCUUCAGCUACAUAGCAAGUUUGAAGCUGUUGUAGAUUACAUGAGAGAGAUCUGCCCCCGUCCCCUCUACUUCUGUCAAAAAAAACCCCAAAACAAAACAACCAACCAAACAAAACACUUAAUUAAAACCCAUGCAUUUUCUGAAGUACUGAUUGACAGCUUGGCUGUUUCUGGAUUUCUUGGCUAAAAACUAAAUAAACUGGUUACAUUU